GCAGCGAACGGGUGAGUAACGCGUGGGGAAUCUGCCUUUGAGCGGGGGACAACAUUUGGAAACGAAUGCUAAUACCGCAUAAAAACUUUAAACACAAGUUUUAAGUUUGAAAGAUGCAAUUGCAUCACUCAAAGAUGAUCCCGCGUUGUAUUAGCUAGUUGGUGAGGUAAAGGCUCACCAAGGCGAUGAUACAUAGCCGACCUGAGAGGGUGAUCGGCCACAUUGGGACUGAGACACGGCCCAAACUCCUACGGGAGGCAGCAGUAGGGAAUCUUCGGCAAUGGACGAAAGUCUGACCGAGCAACGCCGCGUGAGUGAAGAAGGUUUUCGGAUCGUAAAACUCUGUUGGUAGAGAAGAACGUUGGUGAGAGUGGAAAGCUCAUCAAGUGACGGUAACUACCCAGAAAGGGACGGCUAACUACGUGCCAGCAGCCGCGGUAAUACGUAGGUCCCGAGCGUUGUCCGGAUUUAUUGGGCGUAAAGCGAGCGCAGGUGGUUUAUUAAGUCUGGUGUAAAAGGCAGUGGCUCAACCAUUGUAUGC
rnacentral:rRNA from 1 species